rnacentral:rRNA from 1 species
CCUACGGGAGGCAGCAGUAAGGAAUAUUGGUCAAUGGAGGCAACUCUGAACCAGCCAUGCCGCGUGCAGGAUGAAGGCCCUAUGGGUCGUAAACUGCUUUUACACAAGAGAAAACCCCGGUACGUGUACCGGGUUGAUAGUAUUGUGAGAAUAAGCAUCGGCUAACUUCGUGCCAGCAGCCGCGGUAAGACGAAGGAUGCAAGCGUUAUCCGGAUUCAUUGGGUUUAAAGGGUGCGUAGGCGGACUUGUAAGUCAGUGGUGAAAUCUCUUUGCUUAACAAAGAAACUGCCAUUGAUACUGCAGGUCUAGAGUAUAGAUGACGUUGGCGGAAUAUGACAUGUAGUGGUGAAAUACUUAGAUAUGUCAUAGAACACCGAUUGCGAAGGCAGCUAACGAAACUAUAACUGACGCUGAGGCACGAAAGUGCGGGGAUCAAACAGGAUUAGAUACCCUGGUAGUCCGCACCGUAAACGAUGAUUACUCGUUGUUGGCAAUAUGACCGUCAGCGACCAAGCGAAAGCGAUAAGUAAUCCACCUGGGGAGUACGCCGGCACGGUGAAACGUCAAAUGAAUUGACCGGNGNGAGACGAGCGAGGACGACGACGAGGGAGGAGG